GAAAGGACAAAUCCAACCCAUUGCCUUCAGCCUGUGCUAUCCCACCGCUCAUGUGGUAACAGCCAAAUAUGGCACCUGUACAUAGACUUCAUUCAAACCGAAGGCUUUAUCUGUGAUGCCACUGAUGAAAGGAAAGACAUAGUUCCACCUCUGCAAACAGUUCAUGGCAUCUUGUAUGCCAACUACAGAUCAAAGCAUUUCAAGCCAAUCUUCUGGGGAAACUCAGAGAGCAGUGAUUUUCUGCUGAGAACCUGCCUCAACUUACCACAAUACAGUCCAGUCAAUAAUCUUCCUAUAACAAUAAGGACGUGUGCAGGACCAAACUUUGCCACACCCAAGAAGACAUUCCCGGCAAUUGCAAGGACAUUCACAAGCAGCAUAGAUUUCACUCUGAAACAAGAGAGGGAAUAAAUUCCACAUCCACAUGGGAAAAGGCCCUGAAUCUCACUCGCUUUGGUGUAUGAUGGUAUCAAACUAGUCAAGCUACUUCCCAGAGAAUGAGAAGGUACUUUUUUGUAGUCCAUGUAGGCAACUUUUCUAAGCUCAAAUACUUCCACAACAGAGAAAGCUAAAAUAGGUAAAUAUGUAGUCCAAUAAUCAAAAUCUGCAAAAUGGACAUCUUUUUCUUUCUACUUCAAAACUUUGGACGUGCAUCCUAUUAAAAACCUGUUGCUAUAGCACAGCAUUAACCAGGACCAUCUUUAGAGUUUGAAGAGAAGUAGAAAAGCCAGAUUAGAAGUGUAUCUGUUGAAUAUUAACCAUGAUUAAAGCUAUAGGUGCCAUAACACUUUUAACCAUGCAUAAAGAAGCCAGGAAGGAUUUGUGCUUGAGAAAGCAAGAAGCGUGGGGAAGAGAAUACUGCAUUAACUCUCAAUGGGUAGAAGUGGAAGGAAAGGCCAAUGGCGGUUGGUGGCUUCCAUGUCAGUGGUCAGUCAGUCCAUUCCAGGGUUUUGUUUGCAUGUGAACUCUAUUUGGGGGAUAGGAUUCAACUAGCAACUAGGAGAGAACAUUUAAAGUUCAGUCUGCAAUUCAGAACAGAUUCACUGCCCCACUGAUAUGGAAGCCACCAACCUCCAGUGGGCAAGGCAGAAUGGGAUGACCAUCAAAUGGGCCACAAGAUGCUUCUCACAGCACUGCACGACAAGAGGACACAGUCUGGGGCCACAGUGUCUUGCCAUUCUCAAGGCCAAUCUGAAGAACACAUCCAUGUUACAAGCAGUAUUUAUACAGAUUCCAUGGAAAUUAGUAGGGCUGCUUGGCUACUUAGUUUUGAU